GGAUGUGAGGAUGAUCUGGCUGCAACAUCUGUCACCCCAUUGGUUGCUAGGGUUGACUGGGAUGAUCUGGCUGGUUGGGCGGGUGUCCCAUUCCUCCCUCACCACUCUAUGUGCGUCCCUCCCAAAGCUGCAUGCUCAAAAAGGAUGACCAUCCCUAAUAGAGAAGGACCGGUCUUUGGUCAAGGGUAUAUGAGUAGCUGCACUCUUCUGCUAGGACCUCCAGACAAGCUCUCCAAAGUCAUAACAGAGAUACGAAGAUAAUAAGGAACUUGCGUUUAUUUGUUUCCUUGAUCAUGUUUAUUGAUUAGAAGAAAAU
rfam:Nomascus leucogenys chromosome 15, whole genome shotgun sequence.